rnacentral:rRNA from 1 species
AUUGAACGCUGGCGGCAGGCCUAACACAUGCAAGUCGAGCGGAGCGGCGGACGGGUGAGUAAUGCCUAGGAGUCAGCCUGGUGGUGGGGGAUAAGGUCCGGCAACGGGCGCUAAUACCGCAUACUAUCAGAUGAGCCUAGGUCGGAUUAGCUAGUUGGUGGGGUAAAGGCCUACCAAGGCGACGAUCCCUAGCUGGUCUGAGAGGAUGACCAGCCACACUGGAACUGGGACACGGUCCAGACUCCUACGGGAGGCAGAAGUGGGGAAUAUUGCACAAUGGGCGCAAGCCUGAUGCAGCCAGGCCGCGUGUAUGAAGAAGGCCUUCGGGUUGUAAAGUACUUUCAGCGGGGAGGCGUUACCCGCAGAAGAAGCACCGGCUAACUCCGUGCCAGCAGCCGCGGUAAUUC